CCGUUACUGUAGGCGUAUGGAGACUCGGCUGCGCCGUCCUGGAGGCUCUCCAGGAUCUCGCCCUUGCCCACGUCGCUGUCGCCCACCAGCAGGAACUUGAGCAGGCAGGUCCCCACUGAACAUUUGGUAAGAGAAUGAGAGCAGCCGUGUGUGACCAGAGCCACCAGUCUGAUGGCCCUCUAGAGACACUUUCUUGUUGAGCCACCUGCCCCUGCCAGAAGCAGAAGUGAAUCACCGAGAUUAGAAGCCACCAGAAACCCUGCAAAUGCAUGUGUGCAUGCAUGUAUGUAUGUAUACCGGAACGAGCUAAUAGAGUGUCAAGUGGA